rnacentral:rRNA from 1 species
UAGGGAAUCUUCCGCAAUGGGCGAAAGCCUGACGGAGCAACGCCGCGUGAGUGAUGAAGGUCUUCGGAUCGUAAAACUCUGUUAUUAGGGAAGAACAUAUGUGUAAGUAACUGUGCACAUCUUGACGGUACCUAAUCAGAAAGCCACGGCUAACUACGUGCCAGCAGCCGCGGUAAUACGUAGGUGGCAAGCGUUAUCCGGAAUUAUUGGGCGUAAAGCGCGCGUAGGCGGUUUUUUAAGUCUGAUGUGAAAGCCCACGGCUCAACCGUGGAGGGUCAUUGGAAACUGGAAAACUUGAGUGCAGAAGAGGAAAGUGGAAUUCCAUGUGUAGCGGUGAAAUGCGCAGAGAUAUGGAGGAACACCAGUGGCGAAGGCGACUUUCUGGUCUGUAACUGACGCUGAUGUGCGAAAGCGUGGGGAUCAAACAGGAUUAGAUACCCUGGUAGUCCACGCCGUAAACGAUGAGUGCUAAGUGUUAGGGGGUUUCCGCCCCUUAGUGCUGCAGCUAACGCAUUGAGCACUCCGCCUGGGGAGUACGACCGCAAGGUUG